AUGGCAGGUGAUUUCAACGAGAUCUUACAUUCUCAUGAAAAAGAGGGUGGUGUCGUUCGCUCUCAAAAAUGCAUGCAAGCUUUUAGAGACGCCCUUGUUGAUUGCGGUCUGGAUGACCUUGGUUACAUCGGUGACAAAUUUUCAUGGCGGCAGGGACACACUCGAGAACGCCUAGAUCGUGCAACUAGCAAUGCUAUAUGGGCGGACAUGUUCCCGGGAUUUGGUGUGACAAACGAGGAGUUUGAUCAGUCAGAUCACCGGCCGGUCUUG
rnacentral:rRNA from 1 species